rnacentral:rRNA from 1 species
AACAAACGCUGGCGGCGUGCCUAACACAUGCAAGUCGUACGAGAAAGGGUCCUUCGGGGCCUGAGUAAAGUGGCGCACGGGUGAGUAACGCGUGGAUAAUCUGCCCUUCAGUUGGGACUAACCCAUCGAAAGGUGGGCUAAUACCGAAUAAUGCUGUGAGACCUCGGUUGAUCAGCCAAAGAGAGCCUCUGCUUGCAAGCCCUCGCUGAAGGAUGAGUCCGGGUACCAUUAGCUAGUUGGUAGGGUAAUGACCUACCAAGGCGACGAUGGUUAGCUGGUCUGAGAGGAUGAUCAGCCACACUGGAACUGAGACACGGUCCAGACUCCUACGGGAGGCAGCAGUGAGGAAUCUUGCGCAAUGGGGGCAACCCUGACGCAGCAACGCCGCGUGAGUGAGGAAGGUCUUCGGAUCGUAAAGCUCUGUCGGAUGGAAAGAACCGCAUAGGGGUAAACAGCCCCUGUGUCUGACGGUACCAUCAAAGGAAGCACCGGCUAACUCCGUGCCAGCCGCCGCCGUAAUAC